rfam:Gossypium raimondii Chr03_contig_66, whole genome shotgun sequence.
UAUUAAAAAUUCCAUCCCUUUGUACCAUUAAAAAUUUGUAUAGUUGAUAGAAUAACCAGACAUUGACACUUGGCGUGUCAUGUGUACCUCAUGCUGACGUAUAUGGACCAAUUUUUAACGAUAGAAAUAGAUGAAAUUUUUAAUA